GCUUUCACGGUGUAACGGUAGCACAUUCGGCGCGUAAUCGAGAGGUCCAGGUUCGAGUCCUGGCCAGAGCA
rnacentral:tRNA from 1 species